GCCUAACACAUGCAAGUCGAAUGGCAGCACAGUGUGUAGCAAUACACAUGGGUGGCGAAUGGCGGACGGGUGCGUAAUACGUAGAGAUUUGCCUUGAAGAGGGGGACAACCCGGGGAAACUCGGGCUAAUACCGCAUACUACUCUGAGGAGGAAAGGCUUGGGCAACCAGGCGCUUCAAGAGGAAUUUACGUCCGAUUAGCUAGUUGGUGGGGUAAAGGCCUACCAAGGCGAUGAUCGGUAGCUGGUCUGAGAGGAUGAUCAGCCACACUGGGACUGAGACACGGCCCAGACUCCUACGGGAGGCAGCAGUGGGGAAUAUUGGACAAUGGGGGCAACCCUGAUCCAGCGAUGCCGCGUGUGUGAAGAAGGCCUUCGGGUUGUAAAGCACUUUAGGCUGGGAAGAAGGUAUGUAGCUGAAUAGGUUAUAUGCUUGACGGUACCAGAAGAAUAAGCACCGGCUAACUCUGUGCCAGCAGCCGCGGUAAUACAGAGGGUGCGAGCGUUAAUCGGAGUUACUGGGCGUAAAGGGCGCGUAGGCGGUGAAUCAAGUGAGAUGUGAAAGCCCUGGGCUCAACCUAGGAAUUGCAUUUCAAACUGACUUGCUAGAGUACAGUAGAGGGUGGUGGAAUUUCCGGUGUAGCGGUGAAAUGCGUAGAGAUCGGAAGGAACAUCAGUGGCGAAGGCGACCACCUGGACUGUAACUGACGCUGAGGCGCGAAAGCGUGGGUAGCAAACAGGAUUAGAUACCCUGGUAGUCCACGCUGUAAACGAUGAGACUAGAUGUUGGUUCGCGCGAGCGAAUUAGUAUCGAAGCUAACGCGAUAAGUUCUCCGCCUGGGGAGUACGGCCGCAAGGUUAAAACUCUAGGAAUGACGGGGGCCCGCACAAGCGGUGGAGCAUGUGGUUUAAUUCGAUGCAACGCGAAGAACCUUACCUACCCUUGACUCCGUGGAAUUUUGCAGAGAUGCGAAAGUGCCGAAAGGAGCCACGAGACAGGUGCUGCAUGGCUGUCGUCAGCUCGUGUUGUGAGAUGUUGGGUUAAGUCCCGUAACGAGCGCAACCCUUAUCCUUAGUUACUACCACGUUAUGGUGAGGACUCUAAGGAGACUGCUCGUCAUGAACCGGAGGAAGGCGGGGACGACGUCAAGUCAUCAUGGCCUUUAUGGGUAGGGCUACACACGUGCUACAAUGGGAUGUACAGAGGGAAGCCAACCUGCGAAGGGGAGCCAAUCUCAGAAAACAUCUCGUAGUCCGGAUUGAAGUCUGCAACUCGACUUCAUGAAGUUGGAAUCGCUAGUAAUCGCGAAUCAGAAUGUCGCGGUGAAUACGUUCCCGGGCCUUGUACACACCGCCCGUCACGCCAUGGGAGUGGGUUGUACCAGAAGUAGGUCGCUUAACCGCAAGGGGAGCGCUUACCACGGUAUGGUUCAUGACUGGGGCGAAGUCGUAACAAGGUAGCCGUAGGGGAACCUGCGGCUGGAUCACCUCCU
rnacentral:rRNA from 1 species